UAUCAUUUGCAUUUUGACUUUAAAAGCAGUAUGCAGCUUUAUUAAAAGCAAAAUCCAAAUGAUAUAUGCUAUAAAGUAAAAUAUGU